rnacentral:tRNA from 1 species
CAAGAAAUAGUUUAAUUAGAAUAUCAGCUUUGGGUGCUGAUGGUGGGGGAGGAGUCCUUCUUUCUUGA